rnacentral:rRNA from 1 species
GAUGAACGCUAGCUACAGGCUUAACACAUGCAAGUCGAGGGGAAACGACAUCGAAAGCUUGCUUUUGAUGGGCGUCGACCGGCGCACGGGUGAGUAACGCGUAUCCAACCUGCCCACCACUUGGGGAUAACUUUGCGAAAGUAAGACUAAUACCCAAUGACGUCUCUAGAAGACAUCUGAAAGAGAUUAAAGAUUUAUCGGUGAUGGAUGGGGAUGCGUCUGAUUAGCUUGUUGGCGGGGUAACGGCCCACCAAGGCUACGAUCAGUAGGGGUUCUGAGAGGAAGGUCCCCCACAUUGGAACUGAGACACGGUCCAAACUCCUACGGGAGGCAGCAGUGAGGAAUAUUGGUCAAUGGGCGAGAGCCUGAACCAGCCAAGUAGCGUGCAGGAUGACGGCCCUAUGGGUUGUAAACUGCUUUUAUAAGGGAAUAAAGUGAGCCUCGUGAGGCUUUUUGCAUGUACCUUAUGAAUAGGGACCGGCUAAUUCCGUGCCAGCCGCCGCCGUAA